rnacentral:rRNA from 1 species
AACAGGAUUAGAUACCCUGGUAGUCCACGCUGUAAACGAUGUCGACUUGGGGGUUGUGCCCUUGAGGCGUGGCUUCCGGAGCUAACGCGUUAAGUCGACCGCCUGGGGAGUACGGCCGCAAGGUUAAAACUCAAAUGAAUUGACGGGGGCCCGCACAAGCGGUGGAGCAUGUGGUUUAAUUCGAUGCAACGCGAAGAACCUUACCUACUCUUGACAUCCAGAGAAUUUGCUAGAGAUAGCUUAGUGCCUUCGGGAACUCUGAGACAGGUGCUGCAUGGCUGUCGUCAGCUCGUGUUGUGAAAUGUUGGGUUAAGUCCCGCAACGAGCGCAACCCUUAUCCUUUGUUGCCAGCACGUAAUGGUGGGAACUCAAAGGAGACUGCCGGUGAUAAACCGGAGGAAGGUGGGGAUGACGUCAAGUCAUCAUGGCCCUUACGAGUAGGGCUACACACGUGCUACAAUGGCAUAUACAAAGAGAAGCGAACUCGCGAGAGCAAGCGGACCUCAUAAAGUAUGUCGUAGUCCGGAUUGGAGUCUGCAACUCGACUCCAUGAAGUCGGAAUCGCUAGUAAUCGUAGAUCAGAAUGCUACGGUGAAUACGUUCCCGGGCCUUGUACACACCGCCCGUCACACCAUGGGAGUGGGUUGCAAAAGAAGUAGGUAGCUUAACCUUCGGGAGGGCGCUUACCACUUUGUGAUUCAUGACUGGGGUGAAGUCGUAACAAGGUAACC